rnacentral:snRNA from 1 species
AGCUUUGUGCAGUGGCAGUAUCGUAGCCGAUGAGGUUUAUCCGAGGCAUGAUUAUUGCUAAUUAAAAAGUAAAAUCCAGAAAAUGUC